rnacentral:misc_RNA from 1 species
UUCGUUUCUCUUUCUUCAGAUGAUGAUCCCAAGCCUUCUGGCGAUUUCUUAUCAAGGAAAUUUGACUGAGAUCUCAAAAAUCCAUGUUUUUUAAAAAUAUGCGUGCUUUAAGUAAGCCGUUUUGAGGAAAAAGUGUUUCCACUUGGUAAAAUUUAGUCCGGGGAAGGUUUUCCGGUUUAUCCCGGAGGGCUUGUAGCUCAGUUGGUUAGAGCGCGCGCUUGAUAAGCGUGAGGUCGGAGGUUCAAGUCCUCCCAGGCCCACCAGUUUCCAUUCUGAUGGAAAAGCGCCGAUAACAUUCUUAUGAAAAGCUUGUUUAUAAGCUUAUGCAUGAAAUAAGCCUGUUCAUAAAAUAUACGUUUGUUAUUUUUGAGUCAUGAAAACAUGAAGCGGUUAAAACGUAUAAAGGGUCAUGCGAGAAGGGUUUUGUCCAAAUGAUUAAAUCUGCAUGGUUUAGAAUUGCAUUAUGCAUCUCCAAAAAUAAAUAUGUGCUCCACAAUGAAAAUGCUCUUCAUUUUAUGUCUUUUGAAUGCGCUGUAUUAUUUUAGGGGGCCGUAGCUCAGCUGGGAGAGCACCUGCUUUGAAGCAGGGGGUCGUCGGUUCGAUCCCGUCCGGCUCCACCAUUUGAUCAUCAUCGUUGUUAUUGAGAACACUCUUUGUGAGA